AUUGUUCGCGAAUAUUCAAUUUGGAAUGCGAUUUUGUUAAUAAAAAAAAUACUUAUAACUUAUGCAAAACCCAAGAGAGGCAUUUAUAUUUAUUUCUUUUGCGUUCAUUUUCAAAUUCGCCGUGCAUAUAUUUUUGUGCAUGGCGCUUGAGAGGGCAUCACGUGACUAAAAACGACCAACCAACGACCUCGCUUCGGCCAUCUUGGCAUCUUCAUCUUGGCCACCUUGCUUUGCCGUGGGUGGAUCGUUGUUUCUAUUAUUUGUGCUUUUUAAGAAUAUUUUUUUAAUUCGGAUACUUUUAUAAUAGCUUUAAUAGUAUUAUUAACAUAGUGAAUAAAAUGGUGUCCUGUUUUUAACGCAGUUGGAGUAGCAGAAACAAAUGUAGAUAAAAAAAUCUGCAGGAAUAACGUUUCAAUUAUGACAGAAGCUCCAAACAAAUGACUGUGAAUGAAAAGCCCUAUUAAAAGCUUUCCAGAAGAUUCUGCGAAGAAGACAUGAAGUAUAGAUCAGAUUUGUUAAUAGAGGAGUAUGUUCAAAACACUUUUUAGAAAAAGAUAUUGACAGAACUUCACUUUCAUCUGUUCGUUUAAGAGACUGUGCUGUUCCAAUAGCUUAUGUCACACAGAAUCAGCUGAGAGAAGUGGUCUACAAAAAACCAGAAAGGAAACAGAAUAUGUGGCUACGAAAAGCAAAAGAAAGGUUUACAAAGCAAAUGUGACACAUUUUUUUAUAAUAUUUAGGAAUGUCAGUAAAUUACAUUAAAAAAUGUAUGUAAAGAUUUUUUGCAAUAAAAAUGUUUAUAUUUA